AACAAAGAUAAAAACCUACUCUACCUACUCUCCUCUAACAUGAACAUCACAUCAUCAAACCUCAAUGACGCCACGACUGAAAUCCGGCGAGCAAAACCAUCGUCCCAAAUCCAACAAAACGGAAUUGCACAAAUCCUUACUCAGUUUGCAAAUCUCACAUUGUGAAUUUGUUAUGCCGUCCUAGUUCUAUAUCAAUCUCAGUAACCUACUUGAGCAUAAAAUUAGGGACGAGAAGCAACAUAAGUUGAUAAUUUAAGUAAGCGUUCGCAUAGAACGUACCAAAGAGAAUCCGACGUGGCGGUUUCUGCGACGUCAAUGACUUCACAAAAUCUUGAGCUUAAUGAAGGAAUGAAUUGAGACCGAGAGUGAAAGGGAUUUGGUUUAAGCUCAACCAAUUGAAGCUUUCACGUGAAACUUCAAUGGCCUUGUAAUGAAGCUUUCAUGAGGGUGAAUUUAGAGAGAGAGAGAGAGUACAUGUAUUGCAUUGCUGGCUCGUUGAUGUAUGGUUAAUGUCCUGUUAUUGAUGCUCUGAAAUAAGGGCUGCUAUGCAUGUGUAUAAUCGUUAACUGAUAGUGAAUGACAUGAAGUUCAAUGAAUUGCCUGUUGUCUUGACAAUGCCAUGACGAAAUGCCUUGUUGCUGGUUUGCUUUGAUGAUGAAUUGCAUUUCAAUGAAUGAUGUGAAAUUUAUGAUGACUUAUGGAUUAAACUUACUUAUGCAUAUGUUACUGCUACUAUUUGUUGUAUGGAUAUGAUGAAUGGAUUGCCUUCUUAUGCCAGGGUUGUUUGGAUGUGAGUGCAAAGCUUGGUUAAGAUGGUUGCUUAUGAAUGUUUGAUUUUGUGCUAAGUGUGGGGCUAAUUGAACAUGGUUUCAAGGCAAGGUUUCAAGGCAAAGUUUCAAGACAUGGCACUUGAUUGCAACCACAAGGCUUGGUGCAGAAUGUGGUAACUUGUUCAUGAAUGAAUUUUAUCAUGGAAUCACAUGGAAAGGUGCAAGAAUGAAGAUACAAUUAGCAUUAGGGUUUAGGUCAUGUAAAAAUAUGUUAGUUGACUUUGGUCAACUAGUUAAAUAAAAGUCAACUUUUGUAAAAAAAAUCAUUUGUAUUUUCUUUUAUAUGUACAAUGUGAUUGAUAAUUGAAUGAAUGAAUGGACACAUAAUGCCUUA